rnacentral:sRNA from 14 species
CUUUUUAUGCUAUAAUAGAAUUGAUAGUAAAGUUUAAUGACGGUGGCUAUCCAAUCGAAAGUGAGGUGGUGCGUAUGAACGUACUUCCAAAAUCUAUAGAAAGGAGAAGCCUUUUGUCCGUUUCGGAAAGUUUGCAACUAAUGCUUGCGUUUGGUGGGUUUACAUUGACCCUAAUCACAA